GGCUUGACAAGUGGUGCCAUGUCCGCCCCCAGGAUCCGAACCGGUGAACUCCGGGCCACGGAAGUGGAACGUGCAAAAUUAACCGCUGAGCCACCAGGCCGGCCCCAGAACUGGGAUAUUUUUAAAAAGGAAAAUUGAAGGUUCACAAAAACAGGAGUAAAACAUGGCCUCCAGGAGGCUGUUUAUUAGAAGAUUCUGGUUCAAGCCCCAUGCCAGCUUAGCACGGCAACCCACUCAGGCUCGCCAUUCUUGUGUCCUGCUGCUUCUGCUUCUUCAAUGAUGUGGACCAGGCAUGCUGAGACCUCAGUGAUAUGGACUAGCAAAGUGGAAGAGGAGCUGAGAACCAUCAAGGCCAAGACCAAGAGAGCAAAUUUGAUCACACACUUGGUCCUAGGGAAGUGUAUUUUGCAUUUUUAAACAGAACAUUUUCCAUAACUGAACCUUUAAACAUGUUGGUAUAGUCUAUGCACCUGUUUUUCAAGAUGAAGAAAGACAUAAUAUUCUGCAGAAAAAUGUCCCCAAUUCAGAGCCCAUCAUUUGCUUUACCUUUUUAUAUCCAAACAAGGUUAGAUAAUUCCAACUGUAUUUUAAGAAAUAUCCUUUACAUAGGGGAUUUGCACUGAUCUGAUCUUGACAUCGUGUGGACAGGGGUGUGCCAACACAUCUAGUCUGGAUCAAGAAAAAAAUAUUUUUAAAGGAUGAAGGAAAUCUAUUUGGGUUGUAAAGAAAUCAUAACUUUGAAAUUUUUUUUGGAUUAUAUCACAGUUUGCUCAUAUAUGCAUUUUACUUAGCAUUUUGAAAUAUACCAACUGAAAUAUUUAUUACUAGAUUUAAUAGCUUGGAUUUACUAGGAAAGGAAGAAAAGCCAGAUGAUACAAGUUUAAAUCAUCUGAAACGGGUAUUGCAGAAAUUUUACUGGUGCAGUUGGAAAUGGAAACCACUCUAGUUAUGCCAAGCAGGAAGUUAUUUAACACAGGGAAUUAGACGCUCACAUAAUCGUUGGAAGGGAUGGAGGAGGAGGAGUCUGGAGGGGCCGCCAUGGUCUUUCAGAUCACACUGAUGGAACUGAGAUCCAAAGAUGAGGAAAGUCCAGAAAACUCCAGAAAAGCAUCUAGUUCCAUGCCCUCCUCUCCACAAAGCUGGUGUCUAAACAGUGAUGUGGGGAAUCUGGCCACUGCAAAAAUUCAUUUCUGUUAAGAACUAUCAGCAACCCCUGCUACAAGAUGAUUUGUCUCUCCUCCUCCAUCCAAAUCUCACAUGAAUUGAUGGAACUUAAAUUGUAUCUAGUUAGCGGAAGGCUGUCUGGGAAAUAAAAUUUUCAACCCUCUAGCCCUCAUAAUAGAAGGAGGAAUGCCAAGUGCUAAUUGACAAUAUCUGGGACUGAAGACAUAUAUACGCAUUUGGAAAUACCAUAUGUAUAUAUGUUAUGUGGUUUAGCAUGUCCCAAAGAAUAUUUUAUGGAACAUUCAUUCGGCAGGUAUCAAUCAGGAAGAAACGGGAUUCAUGAUGAAAAGGGUCUAGGGAUCCUUGCAUGCCCAUCUUUUGGAGAGUCGCGGGGCAUAUUAGCAUAUUAAAGAUCUUGAGAAGGCCUACAGCAGAGAAGUCCUCUUUUCCUGUCUGGAGGGCACACAAUAUACUAUAACAGUGGUUGUCUCUGGGAAGUGGAAAUAGGGCAUCAAUGACCGUUACUUGCCACUUUCUACCCUUCUAAACCAACAGGAUUUGAUACAAUGGUGAGAAAUUUUCAUCUUUUAUAAAAAUAAGGUUUGUUUUCCUUCUAAGGUUCAAAUAAAAAUUUUAGGUGUAAAAGCUGUGGGUGUGAGCCCCAUGGAUGAAGGAGCCCGUGUGCUUUUUACACCAGAGGAACAAUACGAGUGUUUUCAAAGUGAGAUCUUUGGACUCCCUGUAUCAGAAUCCCCUGGGGGAAGAGUGG
rnacentral:lncRNA from 1 species